CCACAUAUCUCAGCGGCUAAAUGACUGUCUAUAGGGCAGCGAAAACACAUCCUUAUCAGUUUAAAGCAGUUGCUGCCUUACUCAGGGGGACAAAAAAUGAGAACAGGAGCCUUCUGAAGCUCAUCAAACAAGAGCUUCAAGAAUCAGAAUCGGAAUCUGUAGCUGAAGACAAUAGUGCCCCACAUGAAGGAUUUUUCUCUGAAGAAACAAGGAGCACCUAAAUGACAACUAGAAGACAUAUAUUAUUUUUAAAGCAGAGAACAAUUCCACUAACACCUCACUAAUCUCAUAUGACUUUCCUCAAGACAUCAUCAAGUCAAAGCAAACUGGACAUCUACAGAGCUGGUGCAGUUUAUGAAAAUAACUACUAUGUGGUAGAGGAGUGGCAAGGAGGAGGGAUGGAAAUUGUCCUAGCCAGAGAGGAGCCGCACAGACCCAGCUCAGGACAGAUGGACCAGUUGGCUGUGGAAAACUGUGCCUCUAAUCAUUGGGACAUAGUGAUCGUCACUGGAGUCCAUGGCCUUCAGAUUUUGUUCUGAGAAAGAGACCACAUCCUGAUUCAUGGACUCCUAGGCACCAGCAAAUAUGAGCUGCCCUGUUGCCACCCUAAAAGAAAUGUGGGGGCACCAGUGUACCUGCCUGAUACCAUGCAAGAUACAAAAGACAGAUGUGCAGCUUUAUGUGGCCAGCAGCCUCAUCAUCUAACAGACACAGUGCUGGCUACAAAGCUUCUGCAUCAGGAAGAGGCAAUGCAGCUCACACUCACUUCUGCCCAACUCCAAAGUCCAUGACCUUUUCACAGUUCUUCAUCCUUCUGUGUUUUCUCUGCUUUUGGGGGUGGGACAUUGCCCUAGAAACAGAACAAAUAAAUCACACUUGGGCUUCUAUAGAGAAUCUCUCUAUUUUUUAAAAAAGAAAAGAAAAGAAAAAGAAAUGAAAAGAUAAGAUAAGAAAAGGAAAGACUAGCUUACAGACUAGCAUGGCUGUCCUAGAGACCCAAUAUGCAGCUGACUGAGACAGACACAGAUACACCUAACCACUGGCUUGAAGUCGGGGACCCCUGCGGUUGAAUUACGGAAAGAUUGGAAGAAGAUGAGGAGGAAGGUCACCCCAUAAGAAGACCAGCAACUAACCUGGACCCUAAGAUCUCUCAGACACUAAGCCACCAACCAGGCAGCAAAAAUAAUGUAUGGCCAGAUAGCAUACAUGAGCUGUUCCGAGACCCCCGACACAUAUACAGCAGAGGACUGCCUGGUCUGGGAAAUGAAAGCAACCCAGGAAUUAUGUGGUCUAUUCAAGCCUGCAAGGAGCAUGAACAAAGAAUAUAAUUAUACAUCAAGCCUGUUGAUUAAACAAUUACUAUUUAAAGCAGAUAUAGAUUUAAAAUUAAUUUGCUUCUGCAUUCUGAGGAUUUGGGGACCAAGAUAAACAGUGUUUGAAGUUUAAUUAUCUGUAUGUGUGUAAGAUGAAGGGGCUCAGAUGCAAUGAGAGCACAUGUUCCUACUGCCAUGCCUUCCUACCCAUGAUAGAUUAUGUGGUGGUGUGGGGACUUCAGGCAUCAGAGUGGGUUGACAUGGGACAGGAGCCUAGCCCAGUUAUCAACAGAGAGGCUUCACCUAGCAACUGAUGAAGAUGCCACAUCCAAACAUUACCUAGAGCUCAAGGAACCCUGAAGAAGAGAGAGAGAAAGGACUGUAGGAGUCUGAUGGUUGAUGACACCAGGAGUACAUGGUCCAUAGAAUAAACGAAGCAUGGCUCAUCAGGUAAGCCUGAUGGCUAUCUUUCUCCUCUGAUGCUGUGCAGAGUAUGCUCUAGCCCUUUGGAAUUUAGCCAUUAUGGACGAAGUUUCCACUGCUCCUUGGUUGUAUUUCACUAUCACUCCAGCUCCCUUCUGGAAUUACUGCUGUCCAGGUUUCUCAUCUUCUUGAACGCAAAGAUAGAAGCAACCCAAGCUACAUGAACACUGCUCAGACCUCAGGCACGGCCCAAGCAAGGAACUUUUCAGAACAAAUUAUGGCUUUGUGUUGAAAUGAAUGAUCAAGAACCAAGAAGACACAAAAAGAAAUUGUGUUUUAUGCUGUCUGAGGCCCAGAAUUUUCCUGCCAACACCAGACACUCUGU
rnacentral:lncRNA from 1 species